rnacentral:rRNA from 1 species
AUUGAACGCUGGCGGCAUGCCUUACACAUGCAAGUCGAACGGUAACAGGUCUUCGGAUGCUGACGAGUGGCGAACGGGUGAGUAAUACAUCGGAACGUGCCUAGUAGUGGGGGAUAACUACUCGAAAGAGUGGCUAAUACCGCAUGAGAUCUACGGAUGAAAGCAGGGGAUCGCAAGACCUUGUGCUACUAGAGCGGCCGAUGGCAGAUUAGGUAGUUGGUGGGAUAAAAGCUUACCAAGCCGACGAUCUGUAGCUGGUCUGAGAGGACGAUCAGACACACUGGGACUGAGACACGGCCCAGACUCCUACGGGAGGCAGCAUUGGGGAAUUUUGGACAAUGGGCGCAAGCCUGAUCCAGCAAUGCCGCGUGCAGGAUGAAGGCCUUCGGGUUGUAAACUGCUUUUGUACGGAACGAAAAGCCCUGGGUUAAUACCCUGGGGUCAUGACGGUACCGUAAGAAUAAGCACCGGCUAACUACGUGCCAGCAGCCGCCGUAACAC